UACCAGCACCCCGAGUGGUCGGGACGUUUAUUGGGCCUAAAGCAUCCGUAGCCGGUUCUACAAGUCUUCCGUUAAAUCCACCUGCUCAACAGAUGGGCUGCGGAAGAUACUAUGGAGCUAGGAGGCGGGAGAGGCAAGCGGUACUCGAUGGGUAGGGGUAAAAUCCGAUGAUCCAUUGAAGACCACCAGUGGCGAAGGCGGCUUGCCAGAACGCGCUCGACGGUGAGGGAUGAAAGCUGGGGGAGCAAACCGG
rnacentral:rRNA from 1 species